UGCUUGUAUGAUGAUUCAGUCCCCAUUUGUCCGCGGGACCAUUGAGAACCGUUUAACAUAUAUGCAUGGUGUACGGCCUGUGUAUUUGCUUCUCAAUACUGACAGUGAAAAAGUGGCUGCUGCAAUAUCAUAUUGAGGACAAAAUGACAAUGUGAUGUAUAGACCAUGUCAUAGGUUCAUUGAUGACUAUGGCCAACGCUUGGGACUGGAUGGUAAUUUGCACUGGAUUUCAGAAGAUGCUCUAGGAGUUUGGUUAGAUGCUGUUGUGCACAAUUCGUCUGUGCACAGCAGCACUAUAGGUGUGGGUUGCAGCUGGUAUUUGGCGCUUAUUACAGAUCAUCACUUGACUGGUUUAAUGGUUUGACUCUAUAACUUAGGAUUUUAUGUUUAGCAGUUCAAUAGGCAUUAGCCAAUUGAGCCCCUCAAUUGGCUGGGCUUCCCUUAUAACGUUGAGGGUGAUUUCGUCUUUUGGAUGUGUGAGUAGAUUCUCGUGUCACGCUGACGUCAUCAGAAAGGAGGCAUACAUAUUUUUCGUUUCUCUAUCUACUUCUCACAGAGUGGAUGAUUUCAGACGAAACCAGCGGAGUGCGCUGGGGAAGCAAUUGCUUCUGCGAUGAUUUUCUCACCUCCUCGGCCUUCUCGUUGUCCGGAUCUUCCUCUAACUCUUUCGCCCGUCCGAUCCCCCGUCAUCCUUGACCGUGCCUUCUCCGGGAUCAAAACCCUAGGCGAUUGCCAGAGGAGGUGCUUUGGAGCCGAUCUUACGUGCUGCGAUCUGAGAUUUGUGCGCUGUCUUCAAGCUAGGCAAUCUUUGUUCUGUUGCUGCGGUGGGCGCAGUGUUUCUACUUUCUUCUGAAUUUUUAAGGCUUGUAAGGAUGAUAUGGAUUUCUGAUUUUAGGGUUAUGUGCACCGCUAUUUCUCAUACACACUUCAAGAAGGAAAAUACAUGUUUCUAGAGCUCUGGUUUGGUGUACGAUCUUCACCGCUGCUCCCCGCGAUCGGGAUCUCUGCCGGUUGAAAUCUGCUCUCUUCGUCAGGUUCUCCCCAUCUGUUAUCUUAACUUCUCCGACAAAUUCGUUCUUUCGUAUGAUUGAUUUAUAUUUAGGCAUAUUUUGUGCUGGUUGUCGCAGUUGUACCAUAUAGAUCGUUCGUUUUCAACCUCGAUGAAGGCUAUAGUUCUUCCUCCGAUAAAUAUAUUUAGGCAUCUCUUGUACUAGUUGUUGUACGCAAUAUGGAUCGUUGGUUUCCGACCUUGUCGGAGACUAUACUUCUCUCUUCGAUAUUAAAAAAAAAAUUACACAGUUUUGUGGAUUUAAAAA